UGGACCAAUGAUGACUUCCAUACAUGCAUUCCUUGGAAAGCUGAACAAAAUGAGUGGGAACUCUGUACUAUCAUCUUAGUUGAACUGAGGUCCA
rnacentral:snoRNA from 1 species